UUGCUCUUCAACGAGGAAUUCCUAGUAAGCGCAUGUCAUCAGCAUGCGUUGAUUACGUCCCUGCCCUUUGUACACACCGCCCGUCGCUACUACCGAUUGAAUGGCUUAGUGAGGCCUCCGGAUUGAGGUUUGGUGGCCGAAAGGCUGCCUCGCUUUGAAAAGUUGGUCAAACAUGGUCAUUUAGAGGAAGUAAAAGUCGUAACAAGGUUUCCGUAGGGGAACCUGCGGAAGGAUCAUUAACAAAUCAUCAUAGUCGUGCGCUUCGGCGCACCGCUAUAUACACCCCAAGCCUGGGAAGAGCAGCAAUGCUUGGAACGGCUUUGGUUGCAGCCUUCGGGCUGUAGGCUAGGGAGCCGCAAGGCAAACUAGCCACAUAGACGCUUGCUUAGUUUGACAGAGUUUAGUUGACAUUUUAAAAAAUACAACUUUUAACAAUGGAUCUCUUGGCUCUUGCAACGAUGAAGAACGCAGUGAAAUGCGAAACGUAAUGCGAUUUGCACGAACCUGUGAGUCAUCAAGUCUUUGAACGCACCUUGCACCAUAUGAGCAAUCGUAUGGUAUACCUGUUUGAGAAUCGUAAAAACCCACUCCUACCCUUGGGUAGGGAAGUGUCGGUUUGAGCCAGCUCAAUCUGAUCAAAAGUAGUAGGUCUAGUCAGGCUAGUGGCCUGGGACAUUGUGUGCUAGAGACGUCGCCCUCGUGGCUACUGUCUUCUCACGAUGCGUCCUGGGCUAUUCAAGCUGGUCUGGUGUUGACCUCUUCAGUGGUGACCUCACGGUUGCCACACCCCCCCUUUUUGAUCUCAAAUCAGGUAAGGCUACCCGCUGAACUUAAGCAUAUCAAUAAGCGGAGGA
rnacentral:rRNA from 1 species